rnacentral:rRNA from 1 species
AACGUAGGAGACAAACGUUAUCCGGAGUUACUGGGCGUAAAGGGCGUGUAGGUGGUUUCGUAAGUCUGGCGUGAAAUAUCUCGGCUUAACCGAGGCAGGUCGUCGGAUACUGCGGGACUAGAGGACGGUAGAGGCGUGUGGAAUUCCGGGUGUAGUGGUGAAAUGCGUAGAGAUCCGGAGGAACACCAGUGGCGAAGGCGACACGCUGGGCCGUACCUGACACUGAUGCGCGAAAGCCAGGGGAGCGAACGGG